rnacentral:rRNA from 1 species
GACAGAGGUGCCAAGCGUUAGGCGGAAUCACUGGGCUUAAAGCGUGUGUAGGCGGGAUGGUAAGUACUUUGUGAAAUCCCACGGCUUAACUGUGGAACUGCUUAGUAUACUGCCGUUCUUGAGUCAUUUAGGGGCAGCCGGAACAGAUGGUGGAGCGGUGAAAUGCGUAGAAUAUCAAGAGGAACACCAGUGGCGAAGGCGAGUCCCUGGACAACUCUGACGCUGAGGCACGAAAGCUAGGGGAGCAAACAGG